rnacentral:misc_RNA from 1 species
AAAUGUUGUGUAGUUUUCUGAUUUUGUGUUUUUAGGUUCCUGAAAUCAAUUAAAUAUUGAGUUAUUCAGUAUCUUUCUAGCUUCUAUGUAUAUAUUUAAUUUGUGAGAACAUGCUUAUCAAUUGGGUUUGGGUGAACUGAUUUAUUCUGGGUUUUAAUUGUCAUUUUGAAUGUUGUUUGAUUGCUAGAUUAUCCAUUUCAGGUCCUGUUAAUAUGUAGUGGUUCAGAUAUCUUUCUUUUUCUCCUUUUUCUGAGUAAUAUAAUAAUUAAUAUGUGAGAAUCUGAUUAUUUUAAUCAUGUUUUUGAUGAUGGCACCGGUGAUUAUGCGAUCUGCUUGAAUGUAUUUGUGCUUGCUGUUUGUAUUGGGUGUUGGUAGCCGUUUGGAUCUUGGAUGUGGUCUUAUAUAACUAUUUAUGAUUACAGCUUGAGAUAAUGCUAAUAUUAUGGGUGUUCGUAUUAUUCAGCCAUUGAUGCAAUUGGCUGCAUUUGGUU